AAUUUUGAACAGCUGGGUUUGUUUGUCCAGAAUGUUCCAUGUUGUGACUUUGAAUCAAACACAAUCUUCAAAAACUUAUUAAGACCUUCGCCUGAUCUCAAUGCUGGGGGCAGUAUGAAGCUGAAAGGAUUUCCAGCUCUAAUGACUUUGCCAGAUUGCUAUUUGCUGGUGGAAAGAUGGCAGCCUGAUUCAGUUUUAUGGGGUAGAAAGGAAGAAAUCAAAGUAUGCGAAUGAUUAAAUUGGAAGUCAUUUCCGUUGGAUGGUUGAGAAGAAGAGAAGAGUAAUUGAGAGACUCCUGAUUGAGAUUGUUUGCCAGAGAACGGAAGCUUACCAGGAAAUAGAAUGGUAAUUGAGGAAACAGACAGAGCCUUGUCCCCAUCCCCAGAGUACUACUCAAAUGGAUUGCCUGUGCUCCUGGAGAGUUGGAACAGACUGACUUCUUGUAUUAGAAAAUGUCUAAUUUAUGGAUCCAUUUCCCACUGAGAUUCUUGCUAGGUGCUGAAAUUCCUCUUACCCCAUUUCAACAUUUACAGGUAGUGUACUUAUACGUGUACUAAAUAAA
rnacentral:sRNA from 1 species